rnacentral:rRNA from 1 species
GACGAACGCUGGCGGCGUGCCUAACACAUGCAAGUCGAACGAGGUCCAAGGAAGCUUGCUUCCUGAAGACCUAGUGGCGAACGGGUGAGUAACACGUGAGAAACCUGCCUCGGAGUGGGGAAUAACUCGGGGAAACUCGAGCUAAUACCGCAUACCUUCACAUGAUCGCAUGGUCGAGUGAAGAAAGAAUUUCGCUCUGAGAGGGUCUCGCGGCCUAUCAGCUUGUUGGUGGGGUAACGCCUACCAAGGCAACGACGGGUAGCUGGUUUGAGAGAACGAUCAGCCACACUGGGACUGAGACACGGCCCAGACUCCUACGGGAGGCAGCAGUGGGGAAUCUUGCGCAAUGGGCGAAAGCCUGACGCAGCAACGCCGCGUGCGGGAUGACGGCCUUCGUGGUUGUAAACCGCUUUCAGCAGGGACGAAAUGACGGUACCUGCAGAAGAAGACCCCGGCUAACUACGUGCCAGCAGCCGCGGUAAU